rnacentral:sRNA from 19 species
UUAGCCCUAUCGCAACAGGGCAAGUGCAGGAGGCCGGUCAUGUUUAUCGAUAAUGUGGUAUUUGCCGGAGUGCUGACUGUGAGCCUCAUGGUGAUGUUUUUUGUAGGGUUUGGAAUUUUUAUCUGGAAAGACGCGAACAAGCGUAAAAAACCAUAGGUUUUUCCGGGUUACAUGAGCACGCAAGGCAUUUUGGGCGACUUCGGUCGCCCUUUUUUUGC